UACGAAGGGGGCUAGCGUUGUUCGGAAUUACUGGGCGUAAAGCGCGCGCAGGCGGUCUUCCAAGUCAGUGGUGAAAGCCCGGAGCUCAACUCCGGAACUGCCAUUGAAACUGUUAGACUUGAGGAUGAGAGAGGUGAGUGGAAUUCCCAGUGUAGAGGUGAAAUUCGUAGAUAUUGGGAAGAACACCGGUGGCGAAGGCGGCUCACUGGCUCAUAUCUGACGCUCAGGCGCGACAGCGUGGGGAGUCAAACAGG
rnacentral:rRNA from 1 species